CUACGGGCGGCACCAGUGAGGAAUAUUGCGCAAUGGGGGAAACCCUGACGCAGCGACGCCGCGUGGAUGAUGAAGGCCUUCGGGUCGUAAAAUCCUGUCAGAUGGGAAGAAAUGUUAUAUCUCUAAUAUAGGUAUGAUUUGACGGUACCAUCAAAGGAAGCACCGGCUAACUCCGUGCCAGCAGCCGCGGUAAUACGGAGGGUGCAAGCGUUGUUCGGAAUUACUGGGCGUAAAGCGCGCGUAGGCGGCUAUUUAAGUCAGAUGUGAAAGUCCACGGCUCAACCGUGGAAGUGCAUUUGAAACUGGAUGGCUUGAGUACUGGAGGGGGUGGUGGAAUUCCCGGUGUAGAGGUGAAAUUCGUAGAUAUCGGGAGGAAUACCGGUGGCGAAGGCGACCACCUGGCCAGAUACUGACGCUGAGGUGCGAAAGCGUGGGGAGCAAACAGGAUUAGAUACCCCCGUAGUC
rnacentral:rRNA from 1 species